AUAAAUACAAGGCUAGAACAAUGUAAUUGAUUCAUUCUGUCUGUAAUACAAUCUACUUCCUUUCUCAUUGCUUCUUCUCUCUCUCAUUCGAUACAUUCAUCUUUUACAUUUCUGCAUUUCUUGCAAACCUUCAUUUUCUCUAGUUUCUUGGUUCUGUUAAUGUGGUAUCAUUGCCGAGGAACGACUGGGUGAAUCUUCCGCUGUACUAUUCUGCAAGUGAUGGGUUUUCUAUGGUGAUUUCUGAGUUGCUAUCGUAGACGAAUAUCAGGUUCUCUGUGUUCAUAUAUGUUCUUGUUUUCGUAUAUAAGGUGUUUAUGAUAUUGUCUGAGUGAAGUUUGAUAUGAUUUUCAUGAGUAAUUGAUUGAAGGCCGAUGCCAUUUCUUGUCAUGAUAUGAUAUGUUCGAUGAAUGUGAUGAAGAAUGUUUGAUAAGGCUGAUGUCAAUUGUUUAAUUUCAGUGAAAUUAAUUGAAAAAUAUGAGUUUCUUGCUAGUAAAGAAUUGUUGAAAAAUAGUUGAUUGAAAGAUUGAGUGUUUUGUUAUCAAAGGCUGAAGUUAAUAGUCAAGAAAGUGUGGUGUAUAUCAAUACCUAAUUGGUUGGGGGAUAGCUUUCAGAAUUUGGUUAUCUUAAUGCUUUCCUCUAACCACUUCAAUGGAAGCUUGCCCCCGCAACUAUGCCAUCUAGUAUACAUUCAAAUUUUGGAUGUGUCUGUGACCAUCUCUGGAGGUAUACCGAAUUGCCUAAAAGUUUACUACUCUGGCUUAGAAAGGAAAUUCAAGUCUUACCGUCGAACAUUCUUAUAUGAGAAAUACUGAUGGACAUUCGUCCAUGGGGACUAGUUAUGAGGAUGACGCAACUUUCAUAUGGAAAGGGAGCAUGCGGGUGUACAAAAACACUUGGGGGCUUGUGAGAAGAAUUGAUUUCUCAAGCAAUAAGUUAAAUGGGGAGAUUCCAACUGAAAUCAGCUACCUAGUUGGCUUGGUUUCUUUAAACCUAUCGAGAAACCAAUUAACGGGUCAAAUUACUCCAAACAUUGGAAAAUUGGAGUCGUUGGAUUCACUUGAUUUGUCAAGAAAUCAGAUAGAUGGAAGAAUUCCAGCAAGCCUUGCUCGGAUAGAUCGUCUUGGUUUCUUGGACUUGUCAUACAACAACUUGACUGGAAAGAUUCCAACUGGCACCCAGCUCCAAAGUUUUGAUCCCACUGUUUAUGCUGGAAAUCCACAGCUCUGUGGACCUCCACUUCAAAAUCCGUGUGAAAAGCAAAGAGUCCAGAUCAAGUUAGUAAUGAAGAUGAUAAGGAUGAUCAGCUUAAAAGCUACGGAUUUUACAUCAGCAUGGGGCUCGGGUUUGUUAUUGGGUUUUGGGGAGUUUGUGGAAGUCUGAUAUUCAUCAGGGAAUGGAGGUACACAUACUUCAAGUUCUUGAAUUUGCUGAAUGAUUGGUUUUAUGUGAGGGUAGUGUUGAUCAAGCGGAAAUUAACGGAUGCUUAACAGAUAAGCUCUAGUGUGUGCUUCACGCUUCUUCUUCACUCCACUUCGAUUGUGUGGUUGCCAUGACCAAAUUAUCUGCAGAAGCUUUCAAGUAUUGGAUUCUGCUUAAUACCGAAAUAACGAGAUCGCAGAAAUGUACUAGGGAUAUGUUUUCCUUGGUAAAUGAUUUGAUACCGUGCCCUGAACUUAAUUCAUAGGGACUUCUCCAAGCAACUGUUUUUUAUGAAUAUUGUUCUAGUUUAAUUGUUUUACAUUAAGAGAUUUCUGUAGUAAAUCGUUUUAGAUGAAUUUGUUUUUUUACUUUAUGUUUUCUCUCUAGUAAGUGGGGUUGAUGUUGGGUUCCCCUGCCGUAUCACUUGCUCUGUUGUUUUCUUGGCAAGCUUUGGUUUUAUUUUCCCCUCAUUUGUAUUUCUCUCUUUACUUUAAUAAGCUUGAGGGGAUGAAAGGUGAGUGCUAUUGCCUCAUCCUUUUAAAA